AAAAUUUAAACAGCUUGCUGGGAGUUCUGUGGCACUGCUGAUAACCUGGCUCAGUAUAUCAGCUGGGCACAGGUUGGUCUUGUGGAACCUCUUGAAAGGCAGUGACACCAAUGCUGGCAUCAGUGGUGUGCAGCCAUGAAGGGGUGGAAUUGUCAAAGUUGAUUUGGAGCUGGAUUUAAAGACCAUUUAAAAUUUGGUGGAUGCAUGCCUGCAGGUUUCCACUAAAAAAAUGGAGGCAUUACUUUUGAUAUAUCCUCUGGACUAAAAGUCUCUUGGAAUCAAUGAAAUAAAGCAGGAAGGUGUGUCCCAGCCCUAGAUGAAGUUGUGAUAAUUAGCUUUUGAAGCUUUAAAAGUUGAUUGAUUUGUUGUUGGGUUUUUUUUUGUUUGGUUUUUUUAUUUGGUUUUUUUUUUUUUUUUUUUUUUUUUUGUUUUGUUUUGUUUUGGUUUUUUUGGAUUUUUUUUUUUGUCUUUUUUCUUUCCUUUAUUUUUCUUGGCUUAGUUUUCUUUCUCCUUUCUUCAUCUGUGUUUAGUGACUGGUAAAUGACCUGGUGUAAGGCACCACUUAAAGAAAGUUUCUUCUAAAUGUCCAGCCUCAGUGCUUCCUGCUGCACUUCAAGUCCCUCACUGUCAUACAUCUCUUAGUGCCUUUGUGCAUCUCGGUGAAUCUCUUAGUGCCUUUGAGUGCUCAGUCCCCUUUUCUGAAGGUUGAAAAUCUUUCCUAGACCUACAGUGGCUCUUAGUCUAUUUGCCCAUGUAGCCAUUCAGGGUAUAGUGCAGGCAGAUGGGAAGGGAGUGUUAGGGUUGCAUUGGGACUCUCUGCUCACCUUAAUGUGUGGUGAGGUCAAGGAAAGGAAAGGGAGAAGAACAACUGUCAUAAUUCAUUAAAAUAGAAAACAGUUUGGGUUUUUUGUUUGCUAAAGCUCAGUGAAAAAUGGGUUUCUAUUAGAUAAGGGUAGGUUCUGUUGGGACCAUAGAAACCUCACUCUUCCUUCUGGGGUUCUGUUUUACCCCCAUAUGUCAGGCAGGUUUCUGGAGAAUAUAUGGUCAUAAAUGGAGUCCCCUCUUGAAAAUGCCAACCCCUGGUGCCUGGUGAGCUGUACUGUGUCAAAGAGCUAUGCGCCUUUGAGGUGUCCCAGUGGCAUUUGGGAGGAUACUGUGCCCAAGCUGACUCAGCAGCCUCCCCCUGCUCCAAUGUGUACACAUCUCUACAGCCUGGUAAAAGAGGCCUCCACAUGCUAGAUGGUGCCAGGUGGCAUCCCCAGAGGUACCCAGUAGAACUGGAGAGCAGCCUUGUGUGUGCCAGUGACCAGCUGCAACCUGCUUUAGCUUUUGCUGUGACCCUUCUGUUGAGGGCUGGCUGCUGGUCUUCUCUGGAAAAUAAUGUUACUUAUUUUGGUUUUGAAACUCCAGUAAAUGUGUUGCUGUCUUUUGCACGGUGCUGGGACAUGUGGGCUUUUCCAGAUGGUUGUGCCUGUACUGUCACAGUAGCUUUUGAUUAAUGCAUCACCUGCAUGCCAAAUAUCUACCUCUUGAAGGUGAUAUAAGAAAGAAACAAAGAUGCAAAAUCAAUUUGGGAUAUAGGACAUGCCAGGCUGAUUUGGUUAGAGUGGAUUUAUUUAUGUCUAAUCCCAUUGGUGUCAGAAUUUCUGCUUUCAGUCUUCACCCCAUAAGGAAAUUAAAAGUCUUGGCACUCAUCAGUGCCAAGAAAUAAAUAACUGACCAAAUGUCUCUCUUCAGACCUGUACCAAGUGAAAUUUUGUGCAUAAUUUUUUUUGUUUGUUUGUUUCAUUUGCAUAUGUGACUGGAACCAGUCCCUGCCAGUGGUACAGCUGAAUAGCAGAGAGCCUGUCUUGGUUUGGAAAGACAGUGUCUGUUAAGGAGUGUAGGAGCCUUUCUUGAACUGGAAACUGAAAAAAGAUAUGGGAGCAGGAAUAACAGUUCUUUUAUUAGGGAAGAAAAUGAAAAAAAAAAAAAAAAGGCAAAAAACAAGCAGUAAAUUAAAACAACCCUGACAGAGUCAGUAUACAACUUGACACUUUGUGGGUCAGGGUGUUGGUAGUAGUUUAAUUGGAAUUGUGGCUGCAGUUUUCCUGGAGUAGCAGGUGUGGUUUUGUUGGAGUAGUGAUUUUGUAGAAAAGAGUGUAGUCUUUCUUUGAAGAUUUAGUGUAAGAAGUAGUUGUUUUUCUGGGAGUCUAGUGGAAAUGUUGUUUUGGUGUUUUAAGAUCUCAGAUUAUAUCUAGUUGGGAAUGUUUGGCUCUUCUAUCUGGGCGGAACAUCUCACAAUGGGAUGCUGUAAUUCUUAUCACUCAUGCAGUGACAUUCAAUGGCUUAUUAACAGCAGAUGUCUCCUCAGAGGGAGGAUUGGUUGUGGAAGAGAUAAGGAAAACUGCCCACUUAACAGAAGACAACUGCUAUACCUCUAACAGAUGGUAAAUAGAAUACAUAUUGCUUGGCAAUCUAAGACAGAGUCUUACACAAAUUGCAUGGAAUAAGCUCAUGCCAGGCAGGGACACAAGGGUGACAUGAAGGUUUGACAUAGAUCAGCCUCUUGAAAAUGCUGUGUAUGCUGUCAGUCACUGAGAAGGAAUAACUGUGCUAAACAGAAUCUUUCAAGCUGCUCUUCUCUGCUUUAAGAUGCUCUGGCAAAUUCUGCAACAGGGACUAAACAAGUUGGAAAAAAAUCAACUGGAAAAGAAAUCUCUGUGAAACUUUUGAGGUGGUAUCGUGGUUUAGAAAUGGUACUCCUCAAUUUGGUGCCCUCAUCCCCAAAUCACACACUGCUGUCUCUCACUCCCCCAUUUUCCCUUUCGUUUUGGCCAAAAUUGGGUAUUUUUAACAACAUUCUUUUAAUGUCCUUUUGAUGGAUCAGAACAAAUGGAAGAAAGCACUCUUCAUGUAUUACAAAAAAACCAGGUGCAUUUCCACUACAUUUUGGAAGAGCACUGGGGAAAUCUCUCCUCUGGGCAUUGGACUGCUAUGAUUCAGCCCAAGGAACCUGCUUCACAUUGCUGCUCAACAGUGCUGCACCCACUCUGUGCAAAGGAGGUGGCACCCAUGGGUGGUGGAGGGUACCGAGAAUCUCCAAACCCUCUUUCACAAGCUUGUGAAAACAUGAUUGAAUAUUGUUCUGCAGCCAACAGGAGGAGCAGGAAACCACUUCUGAAUUAGAGCCACUUGUAAAAUAGGAGUCAUUGAAAUAGGAGUCACUGAAUUAGGAGUUACUUGUAAAACACUUCUUUGGUCACCUAGUGAAGGGCUUGCAGCACCUCAGGUGUGUUAAUUCACCUGGUUCCUUACAAACCCCAAGGGGAAUGGAUAAUCAUCCUCUCUUUCUUGGAGAACAGCAGAGUGAAACAUGAGAGGUAAAAUGCUUUAAUGAUGACAGUCAGACCCUGCCAGCAUUUUGCAGUCAGAAAGUGGUGGCUCCUGGAGGGCUGCCAGGAGUUUCUCAGAGACAGGCAGGAGACUGUGUGUGCUCUGCAGGGCAUGUGCAGUGAGCUGACAGCAUCCAGGAGCCUUUAGUGUGCCAGCAGGCAGACUGCACAUUAGCUGGGUCUGGAAGCCUGUGGUGGUGCAGGCCAAGGAACUUUGAGCCAGCUUACAGGGCUUUGCCAGGUUGAAUCCAUAAUGGAGGUAACACAUGAAUUCUGCUUGAGGGCUAUCUCUGCUUGCUGCUCCACCGUGCUGUGAGGAGCUUGGGUUGGUGCUUACAGGUGUGAUUAUUUGUCUUGUCCUUGGCUUUUUGGGUACAGAGCCUUUAGCUUCUCUUCCCUUGCAGUACAGACUGCAGUUGUCUCCCUUCCUGAAGGGAGACAUGUGAUAACCAUGUGUUACCACCACAGACAGUCAGUGUUGACCCACAGCUGCAGUGGUGGCAAAACUGCAUUUCAUUCCUAUGAGGGGAAGGGCAAAAGGCUCAUUCAGGAUUUAAUGUUGUCUUCGGGAACAGAAAUCAGAAUGGCUUCUCUGCAGGGCAUCCUGUCUCCCUAACUUUACUGCAGCCCAAACAAUCUGCCCUCAUAAACAGAUAGGAUUUAAGAGACAUGAAUGUAUGAUAGCCCUCAUUUUGUGUAUAGCUGAGCAGCAGACUUGUCCAGGUCUUAGGCAUUAGGAAAGCCUUUCUAAGUGAUAAAGGGGGAAUGAUAAAAUCAUUUAUGUUAGAGAAAAAAUCUCUGAGAUUGAGUCCAACCUGUGACCAAACACGACCUUCUUAAGUAGACAAUGGUAUCGAGUGCCACAUCCAGUUGUUUCUUGAACGUGUCCAGGAUCAGUAACUCCUCCACUUCCCUGGAUAAUUCAUUCCAGUGUUUAACAACCCUUUCUGUGAAGAAAUCCUUCCUAAUGUCCAACCUGAACCUCUUCUGGCACAGCUUGAGGUCAUUUCCUCGUGUCUUGUCACUUGUUACCUGGGAGAAGAGACCAGCCCCCACUUGGCUACAACCUCCUUUCAGGGAGUUGUAGAGAGUAAUGAGGUCACCCCUGGGCCUCCUUGAGAAGGUGGACAAGGCUGUGCAGACAUCAGGAGAGGCUUUGCUGGUGGAGAUUUUUAAGGACAAGUUGGGCAAACCUUGUGUAGCAGAGUAGUGGAUCCUGCCUUAGAGCAGGGAUUAAAAUUGAAUGGUUAAUCACAGUCUUUUCCACCCCCUUGUUGUGUUGUUUUGGUGGUUUUGUUGUUGUUGUUGUUGUUUUUUUUUUUUUUUUUUUUUUUUUUUUUUUUUUUUUUUUUUUUUU